rnacentral:lncRNA from 1 species
GCCAAUCUUUGAUGCCAAAUCAAAUUCAUAUCAUUCAUAGCAGCAUUAUUACACAAAGAAGAGCUAGGACUAGAGACAUUUGCAUGAUUGAAAUGAGAAGCAUAUUUGCAAGAUUCUAUUAUAGGGCAUAUGGAAAUAGUGCUACAUGAAUUUGAAGUUGAAGGAGUAGAAGAAGCUGAUGGUUGCACCCAAGUGAACUUGUACAGGCCAUACUCCUCUUUACCAAUAUCCAGAGGCAUCUUCAGAGAAGGGGCCUGUAACAUGUGCAAGAAACAGGAAGUGGCAGUAAAUAACACUAUGCAAUUCAGUUGUUUAAUCAAUUUGUGAACAGAAAUCAGAUUAUGUUGAAAUAAAGGGACAAACAAAACAUUAUGAAGAGUAAAGGAUGGAUUUAAAGCAAAAGAACCAGUGAAAGUCACUUUCACUUUAUAUCCAUUAAGAAGAGUUACAAGAUAAGGAAUGGUUAAAGGUGUAAUGUUAAAAGUAAUUCUUUAUUAAAGGUCAUGUGAUCAGAAGCAGCUGAAUCUAUUAUCCAGGUGACAGAAUGGAUUUCAGUUAACAAGCAAAGUUUAGAACUAGAAAAUGGACUUUCAGUUAAUAAAGUACCAGCAAAAUUAGCAGAGCACAUGAGAUUGGCUUGACAGUUGGAAGCAUCUCCCAAAUGAGACUGUUGUAAAAGGCUGAUCAAUUGAUCAUAUUGCUGCUUGCUCAGGCCUGGGAUUAUGGAUCCCUGACCAACAUUAUUAGAAGCCACAUCAGCAGAAUUCUCUCUCUCAUCUAAAGACCCAACAAAUUCAGGAAUAGUGCCUUCAGAGUUACUGUGAGCUGCAGUAGACACAUGAGCUGCAGUCUUUCUACCUUUAUUGAACUUUGGACCUUGGGGAUACCCAUGCAUUUUUAAGCAUUUGUCAAUCAGAUGACCAGACUUCUUACAGUACUUGAAAAAUGAAGGAGCAGCUCUGUUAUGAUCAAAAUUGACUCUUGGUGAAUAUGGUUUAGUAGGAGUGGGACUGAGAGUAUUAUUUGGAUUGAAACUAGAACCAAAAUUAUGCCUACUUUGUGUGCUAACAUUGAAAGACAUGGAGUCAGGAUUGAACUGAGAGUUUGACUGAACUUGCCUUUGUUUUUCAUUAUUAAGAAGAAUAUUAUAAGCACUGUCGAGGCUAUGAGGAGGUUACAUCAUAAGAAGGUUACUCCUUACCCCCAUAUAUGUCUCACUCAAUCCCAUGAGGAACUGAAAUAACUUACUCUCCUCAUCCUCUUGCAAAAUACCAGGCUUUGCAGCACAAACACACCUUGACCAUGAUUAGUGCAUAUAACUCCCAAUUCAUAUCAUAACAUCUCCAGUUUAUUGAAAUAUGAGGCUAUAUCUAAAGCACCUUGGGAAGUAAAAGCAAGUUCUCUUUUUAAUUCAAAUAUUUUGGUCCUAUUUGCAGUUCCAUACCUAGUUUGUAAUUGAACCCAGAUACUUUGAGCUGUUUCAGAAUAUUGGACACUCUCAGUUAUCUCAGGGGAUAAGGAGGCUGUCAACCAUGAAAUUACCAUAUUGUUGCACCUAUCCCAUAGCAUACAGUAGUAGGUCUAGGACACGUACCAUCAACAAAGGCUAUUUUAUUUUUAGCAGACAAAGAGACUAUCAAUUUUCUUUUCCAACCCCAAAACGCAGUACCCAAAAAUGGAGUAGGAACUAAAGAAAUUCCAGGAAUAUUAGACGAUGCACAAAUAACAGACUUGAAGGAUAGGGGAAAAAGGGACAAAACUUGCCUCAGUAGUAGUAGAACCCAUGUCUAUCACAAAAACAAGCAGAAUCUCAACAUGCAGCAGUCUUAAAAGCAAAGUUAAGAACAAAUUUACCCAGCUUCUUCGCUACCGGAGAAGAACGGCCUUCAAACAAUAGCUAACCCUAGCUUCAAUUGACGAAUCCCAACUUCAAUUGCUUUGUAGCUUGAAUUCUUCAACCUUCAACUAAAAACGCCGGAAAUAACCCUAGCAUUGCUCUCAAACUCCAAAGCAACGAAUAAUCGUUCCUUUGAAGAAUAAAAAGCUCCGAUUUUUCGAACCACCGUAGAUUGAAACACUCAACGAAAAAUGACUAGGGUAAGAUCGGGCGAAGCGGAAGCUCAAGGCACACCAGAAUCGGUGCUCAGAUACCAUGAAAACACUGUAAAAUCAACAGAGAAUUGUGAGAAUUGAUUUUAGGGCUUAGAGAGAAAAGGGAACUUCCUUAUCCGUGUUCGAACCUCAGAAUGAAAUAAUCACCUUUACAAGUGUUUCUCCUAGUAUCUAUAUCUGGGCUUUUAGCCCUUUUACAAAGAUAGCCUAUCUACAGAACAUUACAAAAAUAGCCAACUG